rnacentral:rRNA from 1 species
CCAAUAGCGUAUAUUAAAGUUGUUGCAGUUAAAAAGCUCGUAGUUGAAUUUUAGGCCUGGCCGGGCGGUCCGUCUUUGGCGAGUACUGUUCUGUGUCGGGUCUUACCUUCUGGUGAACCGGCAUGUUCUUUAUUGAGUGUACCGGGGAGCCAGGACCAUUACCUUGAAAAAAUUAGAGUGUUUAAAGCAGGCAUUUGCUUGAAUAGAUUAGCAUGGAAUAAUAGAAUAGGACGUUGGUUCUAUUUUUUUGGUCUAGGACCACCGUAAUGCUUAAUAGGGG